UACGAAGGGUGCAAGCGUUACUCGGAAUUACUGGGCGUAAAGCGUGCGUAGGCGGUUUGUUACGUCUGAUGUGAAAGCCCUGGGCUCAACCUGGGAAUUGCAUUGGAUACUGGCAGGCUAGAGUGCGGUAGAGGAUGGCGGAAUUCCCGGUGUAGCAGUGAAAUGCGUAGAGAUCGGGAGGAACAUCUGUGGCGAAGGCGGCCAUCUGGACCAGCACUGACACUGAGGCACGAAAGCGUGGGGAGCAAACAGG
rnacentral:rRNA from 1 species